CUUAUUGUGUUGUACCGAUAUUUCAAAUUUGGAACCAAUUUUCCUUCAGAUGUUCGAACUCUUUGUUUUUUGUUCCUUAAACAUUAUCUUCAUUACGAUCUAAUCCUCGAUUCAUUAUUUAGGGGUAUGGCAGCUUUCCGGCUCUAGGCGUGAACUCCGCAAGCAUGUCAUGUUAUUGAACCCUGCAUUUGAAAGAACUAAUGAUAAAACACGAUCAAGAAAAGAGACAUUCCUUGAAAAUGAAAUAUUAAUUUGAUUUUUGAUUUUUUGAUUUUUACUUUUUUUCAAUUUUUUAGGAUAGAGGGGUUUACAAUGGAAACUAAAUAAAACAUCCGAGUUACAGCCUGAAAUAACUGAAGAUGCAGAAAAAGUGGUAGGAAUGGACUAUCGGGAUUCCUGCGUGAUGCGUGUUUAGUAAUGGAGUAGCCUUUCAAUUUUGCAGUUUGGCUCUGGGUUCCAUGUAAGCAUAUCAGCGGUGCUUGAGCCUUCUCUCAGCUAAACCAUGUGGGCUUCAAACAACAUCUGUCUCAUAGCCCCACAUAUUUCUUCAAUUUCCUCGACCGUAAAGGCCUCAUCUUCGUCUUCCUUUUUGUAAUUGGGCUUGACAAAUGUCCUAUAGACAUGUGGAAAUUGCUGAGGCAAGACCCAACCGUUGUUCUUGCUUUCAUCCGCCCAUUUUUCAUCAGCUAUUGUGGCUUGGAAGCCCACACCAAAACGUUUCUUGAUUUCUUGUAUGGUGACCAGUUUCGUGAUACCUUGUAGCGAUGCCUCGACUCCCUUCCUAUGCUUGUAACCAUGUUUAAUUAAUUCAUUAGUGACCAUGGUUGAUGCAUUUGACAUAAAAGGCCUAGAACAAGGGAUUCCCUCCUCAUAUUGGUUAGUGACUACCACUUCAAAAGCUUGAUAAACAUAUGCUUACUACAUUCUCUAGCAUCGAGAUACGGGAUUGAUAGGUCCCGGUAAAUCGACUGCUUAUCUUCCCAGUGAACUAAAAUCUCUAUAUCUUCAUUUUUCACUUUUACCAUCUAGGGGAGAGUUGAAGGCGUAGCACCUGCUGCGUGAAUCCACAUCCUUCCUAAGAGGAAAUUAUAGGAAGUAUCCAUGUCCAAAACCUAUAAGGUCACUUCGUAGUCCACCGAGACGAUAGCAAGAAUAAGAUCAAUCUCACGUAUUGUAUCUAUCUUUAUGCCGUCAAAGGCACACACAAAGACAUUGUUAGGUCCGAUUCUCUUUUUACCGAUUUCCGUACGUUGUAGAGCUUAGAGUGGGCAAAUAUCUACCCUAGAACCACCAUCUAACAUGACCCUUUUCACAUAAUACCCUUCAUAUUUAACUGUGAAGUGAAGGGCUUUGUUGUGUGCGGCCCCUUCCGGGGUAAAUCACUCUUGCUAAAAGAGAUUUGAUUAAGUGCAAAAUACCUAUUUGCUAUCCUCUCCAAUUGUUGUAUUGUUGUUGCAAUGGGUACAUAUUCUUCAUUAAGAGUUUUGAUAAUCACCUUUUAAUGUUCAGUUGUGUUCAUUAGCAGAGACAACAGAGAGACUUGAGUAGGGGACAUUUGGAGUUAGUUGAUUAUCUCGUAGUCUACCAUUUUCAUUUUCUGGAAGAACGUUUCUGCUUCUUCAUCACUAACUGGCUUCUUAGGUGGGAAACACUUCUUUCUGGAAUUAUACACUUACACUAGAUUGAGGUACUUCUUAGCCGAUUUAUUUUACUUAACUUCUCCUGAGGUCUCUUUACCUUUAUAAGUUACUACCAUUUUGUUGUAGUUCUGUGAAAUGGCAGUGGGAUCUGUCAUGGGCCUUUGUGGUGCACGGCCAAUAACUACGGGCUCAAUUAGACUUGGUGGAAUUAUUGGCCCCUGUAUACCGUAGCUCCCCUUGGGCACAUACAUUUUAGCUCCCUUGUGUAUCUCAAACCUUCUAGGAGGACUCAAUUACAUCUGUUCUUUCUUGUAGCCUCGAGGAACAUACAUAACGACAUCUUUAGAAGGUGCUGCACAAGUUUCGGCUUCCAUUUUCUUUUAGAUCUUAAAAAGGAUAGUUUUAUUCUAUCUUUCCUCCUUGUCUUGUUUUGCGAUAGAUUUUGGCUUCUUUUCUACAUCAGCUAUGGCAAAGAUGGAUUUUAGGGAUGGUAAAAUUCUCUGUCAUCGAAGAUCAUUCCAAUAAUUAGCCCGUUGUUGUGGGCCGGUAAUUGAUUAUUGGUUACAUUUGGAACAUCUUCAUCCUUUAGCACUAUUCUCUUUUGUUCUAUCAGUUUUUCCACAACCCUCUUCUAGGUCCAGUAGUCAUUUGUAUCACGCCCUUCUUCCCCUGAAUAGUAAGCACAUCGAGUACAGGCUCUGUAAGGGGCCGACGUUGGAUUCUGCCUGGUUUGGGUUAUUGGCUACAACAAACCCAUCUGAACACGUUUGGGGAAAAAGAUGGAAUGUGACUCCCUAAUAGGUAUUUAUUUGCGCAUCCUGGGUGGUUCGAGGGAACAAAAGUUGUUCUGUGGGGGUCGGGAAUUAUAUUGAGCUUGUGAGGAUGUUGAUUUCUGUGAAAUGGAGCUCAGUUCUGAUUAAAUUGUUGUGGUUGCCUAAUAUAAAGCUGGGCAUUCAUCACUGCUAAUGGCUAAGUAGCCAUAGAGUAGGCCAUAUUUUGAGGGGUCCUUUCUGAGAGAUAGGGUCUAGGUGGAUAGGUUUUUCUUACACUUGAAGUCAUCAUUGCCUAUUCAUUCUUGUUCUCUCAGUUUUCUACGCCUAUAGACCACCCUUGGAUUGCAUGGGAAAUAGCCUUUAUAGCAGACUGACUUAAGAUUCACCCUGUUUUCAAUCCAUUUUAAACCAUUUAACACAGUUAAAUGGCUUUUGCAAAUAGCUUAUCUAUUGAAGACAUCAUGCUUUUAAUAAUAAUCGGCCUCUUUGGCUUGAAGAAAGACACUAACAAUCUCUAUUUUUUCGAUUGGAGGCUUAACUCUGGAAGCUUGCUCUCUCCAUUUGACAUCAUACUGUCGGACGCUUUUCGAAGACUUCUUCAACAUUUGAUAAUGAAUUCCUGUCAGGGGUAAUGUCGAAGUUGUAUUGAAACUGCCUGAAAAAGUCCUCAGCCAGGCCAUCCCAGAUGUGCCACCUAUAUAUAUCCUGGUCCAUGUAUCAUUCAGAAGCAAUACCGACCAGGUAAAUAAGCCAUGAGGAGAUCUUCUUUUUAACCUGUUCCCCGUAAUUGGUGGCAAUAUCUCUUGAGGUGGUCUAUGGGAUCACGAUGCCUGUCAUACUUUUAAAACUUUGGUGUUUUGAAACCCAAAAGUAUAUGCACCUGUGGGAGCAUACAUAGGUCGACGUAGAAUAUUCUCUUUUGCCCGCUCAAGCCCUGUAUAUUGUUUUGACUCGGAUCCAUGCUUAUCAUAUUUUUGGUAAUCUCCUCUUAUUCAGGGCGUGGUUUUAUCCGGUCACCCGAUAAACACGUACCGAGGCAGCUGAGGAUAAGUACUUGUAGUAAACUGGGUUGGUUCCAUUGGGAAAGAUGGUGUUUGAAAGUUGAAGGAAAAUGUAUCGAAGCUAGGCCUAGGUACAACAAGUUGUGCGAUUGCUGAACAAGGUGGUGCAGUGAAUAUGUUUCAAGCUGCAUCGGAAGUUAACACCAGGGGAAAGUCUCAGAAGGUGUUCCUACAAAGUGGGCUGAAAUGGUAGGAUAUAUUAGUGGGGUAUUUGGAUAGCUUAUGGGGACAUUGGUGGUUCCACUCGCUCGGCGAAGUAAAUAAGGGGAAUCCUGGUAUCACGCUUGGAGAUUCUCUACCGUUGGCCCAGGCGUCUAACAUUUCCAUCAUGUGGAGACGCAAAAUUGAUUUUUCCUCAGUAGUUGCUGACUCAGAAGUUAGGAUAGUCAAGAUCGGGCUGUCCUCCGAAAUAGGGACCGUUAGCAGAUGACUUUCAGAAGAUAUUUCGAUGCUUCCUUUCGAGCUUGUAAAGUAUGGAUAUGAAGACAGACUACAAAAAAACCAACCACCUUGUCAGUUUGAAGCAAUUAACACAUGGGGAAUCACAUGUUGGGGUGUGAUGCACUAAUAUGUUUCUACAUGUUUUGCAACAGUUGUUUGUUUCAUCCCGACUUUGCUUACUUUCCCCAAUUUUCUUUUUUUUCCAACUUUGGCUUUUGUGCUUCAAUUACCAUUUUCCGCUCUUUUAUCUCCUCCUCUUUCUUUACCUUUGUUUUGUUUUUCUUUUGAUUUUUCUUUGGCUCUCUUUUCUUUCUUGUUGGGUUUCUUUCGUUUCUUUCUUUUCACAUCCCUCUCUUAUUUGAGUUAUUUACAAAAAAUCAUGACCGUAUCUGAUGAGGAUUUCCUAUGUAUCAUGAUGCUACAUGAAUUAGAUCAUUAUGUAGUUCAGGAAAAUAAAUGCGGAAAACAAUUAUUUGGGAAUUUUAAAUUUUCAUUUAUAAAAGCUCCUAAACAUUUCUUUUACAAAAGACGUAGAACUACUCAUUUUCUUGAAAAUUAAAAACUACGAAUAGGCGCAAAAUACACUUUAAUGUAAAAAUUGAAACACAUACUCAAUAAAGGAAAAAUCAUGAAUACAUCAAUGCUUCAACUCCUGGGGCUCGUAGAAAAUCAUUCGGUCUUGCCACGGGCAAACAUGCAAGAUCCUCUUGGAUCCACUACAAAUCACUCAUUAUCUGGUGGACAAAUAUCAUUACCGCAGUGAAGAAACUGGUUUGAGUCAUAACCUUACAUGCUUAGCAUUUAAUGACGAUGUAGUCAACAAUGGCCCUAACCGUCUCUUUGGCAAUACCCUUUUCCUGAAGUAAGCGCCCGGUUUGGUGAUUCUGUGCUUCUAACACCCUAGUAUCAUGAUGGCUCUGAUUCUGAAAAUGCUGCAUGUUUUCCUCUAUCUGAGCAAUCAAAGCAUAACAAUGUUCCCUAUCGGCUUUAAAAUUAUUGGCAUGUUUGUCCGCCUCAAUUACAAGGGGGUUCAACUCUCUCUUCAGAUUGGUGAUUGUCCCCUAAUAUUUUCUUUUCAUUGGUUGCACAAAUUGUGCCCGCCCUUUUGCUUUCUUUGCCGAUUGUGCUCAGACUCUUGCUAGACUGGACUCAAAUUUCUCUAUGUCAUCAUGACGCUCGAGCACUUUCCUUCUCAGACCACAUAUAAGCCUUUCAUCAGCUCGGCUUCUCUCCAGGUUUCUAGCAACCAUCUCAUUUUCUUGAUCUGAGAUUUGAGGGCUUCGUUUUCCUAAGCUAGCUUCUUCUUCUUGCCCACAUCUGCAACGACUUGCACAUUACUUGAGAACUUGAGGUCUUUGAUAUGUCCUUCAAGACUACUUAUGGUGGCCCGAUAUUUAUUUUCUUUUGCAAACCACUCACAAACUCAACUUCCCUUUUCUAUCAAGCAAGGUAACCGUGUGAGAGUUUACCUCGAGAUAAAUCACGUACUCGCGUAUUUGCUGAUAGACAUUGGCAUUAACUCAAAAUCUAGCGAACUACUUUUUUAUGAAACUGUUCAUCAAGAUGGAUCCGACCACAUGGCGACUAAGGUCUUAAUUAUUGGGCACUAUUUGAGAUCUCCCUAACUAUCUCAAAAUCCAGUAUAGGGAAUAAGGCUGAAUAUUUCUGAGACCCAUUAGGAGGAAGUGAGGCUUGGCAGCCGUCAUGUAUAUGAUUUUAUCCACAGGAAGCUACCCAAACGUCCAAUUUAUUUAAUUUGUAGUGAUAGAGCGGAGACUUGAUGUCCAUUUUGUAACCCCUUCUGGCAUGCUAAACCCGUCGACCCGUGUAUAAAACUCCUCUAUGCAACCUUUCCUUGUCAACACACAGUUCAAGUAUUGAGGACAAUGAUAAAGAUGUUCAAUAAUCGACAUUUGGAGCAACAAGUUGCACCUUUCGAAAAAGUCUCCUCCGGCUUUGUAGACUGUGAGAGCUAAAAAGACCUCAGACUCUAUCAUGGGUGCGAGGUGAUUUUGGCCGGAGUAAGAAAAAUGCUAACAACACCAACUAUCCAAAUAUCCGUAUUCCCAUCUUUCCUGGGAAACACUAUAAGACCCCAAAAAUACCACCAUAAAAGCAAAGAACUGUGUUUUUCCCAUUUUAGGUGAUUCCCUUUGCUAUAAAUUUUAUUUUCUGCAUUGUUUUAUUCCUCUAUAUGUUUGUAUCGCUGGUAUAUAAACUGCAGAGUCAAAAAGCCAGCUGGCAAAUCUGGGAUAUUGACCCCCUUCUUAUCUUUAGGAAAUCUAGAAACUUGUGUGCAACAACAACUCUUGGAGCAGUCAAAUACUUGUGUCAAGAGGAAAUUCAUUGCUCCGAAUAUAUCUUGCUAUUUCUUCAAACGUGGGUGUUAGUUCAAUGUUCGAGAAGUGAAAUAUGUUGUGAGUCGGGUCCCAAAAUUGUAGUGCUCUUAUUUUGUCUCGUAUAGGCAUGAUCUUCAAAAACUCGGUGAGACCUCCCAAGUACAGUUCGACCAUAUCUUGUCCUAGUUCACCUAGAUCUUCCCACCACAUAUAAAACUCCAAAGGAAUCUUUGUCAUCACUGUAAUUGGCAAAUUUUGACUCGUGCUCAUUCUACACAUUUAAAUUAGUGUGGUUUAAUUAAUAAAGGUUAUGACUAAUUUUGACUCAAGAAAAAGCUAACACUAUAUAUAUUUUUUUUCAAAAUGUUUACAAAAAAUCCACCAUUGUAAAUACGGCCUUUCAGCACUUCAGGGAAGAAGAUUUUAAGGUUGUGUUUGCUAUCCGGCUAAAACAUUUGGAAAGGCGACUAAAAGUGGUUGUUCUUGCAAAAACGACCUUCCUGGUGCCUUUUAGGGGACAUUCAGCUAUUUUUGAGAAGAAUGACAUCAUCUUACUUAAUUGCAAUAAAAACAAUAAAUUUUUUUGUUCUUUUUGGGAUACUUUUGAGAAAUGGAAGUUGGACCAGUUGGGUUUGUCUACGUAUCCACAUCUUCUAAAAAUCCAAUUAACGUAGAUCGGGAAGCUUUGAGAAAAAUAAAAUAGGAAAAGAAAUGAACUUUUGAAUCUAAACUCCUCCUUUUUUUUAUUGAAAAUUUCGGCAAUGUUUCGGCUUAUUUUGGACAUCGGAUCUUUUCUUUUUCAAAAAUAGACAUUUAUCUCUCUGUAGCUCUAACAUUGACUUUCUUUAACCUUAUAUUUUCUCCUAUUAUUCAAUAAGCCGGUCAACAUGCAAAUCUGAAGUAAAUGAAUGCACAAGUAGAAAAUAGGAGGCAUCAAGAUGGUCUUUUUAUUUGUGGUACACUUGUCCUAGACAGACCCAACCCCUAUGUUGAGUCUCCAGAGUCAAAUGGAUAUGAUGUAAACAAACGUAUCCUAUUAGAGAUCCGGUAAGAGGAUGAGUUAUUCUAAGUUAAAAAAACCUAGCUAUAUUGUUGUAAACUUUUGUAACUGAGCGGAUAACUCAGACCGAGGAGGAGGCUACCGGGAUUCAAAAGGUCAUUCGACUUUGUAACUUGUCUGAGAUUCUUUCUUAUUUCAAGGUAUGAAACUAACAGAAAGAGGAGUCACACUAGCGUGCACAUCGCCGAAGAUGAGGAGAGAAGGGUUCCGUAACUGUUUUUACACAGUUCAAAUAAUAUCAAAGCGGCAAAAGCGUUAUUUAGAAUAUUAUGCUCAAACAUGCAAUAAAAUCAGAUAAUAAAUAAAAGUCAUUUAUAAAACGUAUUCUAAGCUCGAAUUCUUAACCCUGAACCGAAGUUCUGGGUUUGGAUCACCAGCAGACACCCAAAGGUGAUAUAAGGGAGUUUUCCUAAUUUAAGUGACAUUAUUCAAAAUGGGAUUAUUCAUUAAAUUUUAUUAGAAUCGCCACUAGGGAUGGUUUGUUUUGUUGUGUCCCAAGUUACCGGUUUAUAAUAAAAUCCUAAAUUGAGGAAAAUUUGACUUUCCUUUUAAUGUCUGCGAACCAGAAAUUUUGAAUAAGGAAUUAUGUUAACUCAAGGGAAGGUGUUAGGCUCCCCCGGAUUUCGUGGUUCUAGCAUGGUCGCUUAAACUAUCAUAAUUUGCCUAUUACCUGAUUUUAAUACAUGUUUUAGCCUAUGGUUCAAUUUCAACCUUUCUAACUACUUUUACUUAAUUUUUAGGAAAGAUUCAACGUCAUAUAAAAUACGUCUUUAACCAUGUCACAUAAAUGCACCCGUCGUCCACAACACAUUUUAUCUAACGUUGUUGAGAUUUGGAUUUGGGUCACAUAAAUGAACAUGCGAGCUUAGGAAAGUAAUUUUUUUAACAGUGUGACUAAAGCAACUACACUCUUUCAUAUUUGCGAAGGCAAUGGAAAAUUCGACUAUAUGGCACACCUAGAUUUCAAAAUAUUAAAAUUAAGUAAAUGAGGGCCAUGCUUUAGGAGAUUUUAUUUUGUACAACACCCCUCGAUUCCAAUUUUAAAAGUCUAGUUAAUAAAGGAAACAACUCUAGGGAAUUCUAUUUAUGUUUUUUUACUAAGUGUUUGAAGCUAUUUAUCAAUUAACAUGCAUCGUGACUAAGUAUAUCAAUCACCUAAGAACAAUUGUUCCGCACCAAGGCAACAUGAAUGAGACAAAAGAAAUUGGUCUUUGACGAUAUAAAAUGGGGCUAAAUAGCAUAAGGCAGACAAUCCUAUUUGCAGAUUCCUUCAGGCUUGAGCCCAAAAUGAUCACAGUUCUCAGUGGAAGAAAGAAAGUCCAAUACAUAGAACAUGCAGCUGAAUCUGAAGAUAAAUCUCCAUCAAUUGGGCCAACAUUUAGCUAGAUCUUCCAAACCAAACAUUUGUACACCUAACAAGCUAACCCGAGAAGAGAUUCUCUCUCAAAACUCUCUGCCUUCUAUCUAGGAAGAAGGGUAAAUUCUGAUCCCGUCACUAUUCAUCGGGCAUAUCAUCGAAAUCCGGGAAAGUAAGGUCACAAAUUAGCUGUCAAACGAACACCAUACGGAUUUUGAACAACCCACAUCUGAUUUCUUCCUAAAAUCUUUAGCCAAUCGCAUCAGAUCUUUGAUUUUGUCAUUCGAGUUACUGUAGCAUCGUGUUAAUUGGGCAGAUUUCUACAUUGCUCUUUGUUUUCAUUCUGUUUUUCUUUCUUUUUGAUGGAGUAUUGAAGAACUAUGGAUGCAUCGUCCUCUCCCCAGCCUUUGGCUGUGGGAGAGAUGAUCUCAAAUUAUAACUCAAAACAAACGUAUGCUGAUCAAUUGAUGCAACAGAAGGCUGCAACUACUUUGAAUAAAAAGUUGUUGAAACCAAUUAAAAUAAUUCACGGAGUCCCAACAAUCAAUUUUUCAAUGGAGAAAAGGAUGGAUUUCGCAAAAGUGGAACGUUUACAUCAAGCCAUUGUAGUGAAGCUCUCUUCAAAUGCACCAGAUUUAAUAGUCUUAUAAAAUGUACUGCCGAAAUUUUUCGGCAUCAAAGGACAAUGUCUGAUCGGUCAAACAGCACCUCGACAAUUGCUUAUUAGGGUGGAUGAACAUGAAGAUUCUGUUAAUUAACUUGCUAGGUCAGAUAACAACUUCGAAUGCAAUGAUAAUGAGCAUCAAAUCCGAAUUUUCUCAUGGUCCCUUGAUUAUAAGGUCAAUGAAGAAACCAUGAAGGCAGUGGUCUGGAUUUCCUUACCAAAUUCUCCGGCGGAGGUGUUUGCAAUGAAGGAUUUGUUGUCUAUAGCUUCAGUUGUUGGUAAGCCUAUAGCUUUUGACAAAGCUACCCAGACUAAGUCGCAUCCUAGUACUGCAAGAGUCAAAGUGAUUAUUGAUUUAAUGGACAAAUUACGCGAGAAGGUGCGUUUGCAUUUUAUGGAUAAGUAGAUGGGCAAGAGUGUUGAGUACUUUCAAGAGUUUGUUAAUAACAAGUUACCUUUGUAUUGUCACUGUUGUAAACAUCAAGGAAAUGAUGAAACAUCAUGUCACAGAUUAAACAAAAAUACAACAAGGAAUGUGCAAGGUAUUGAAGAAGCUGUUGAUAAUGAUCGUCUACUGCCUGCUGAAGUUUUGGGUUUGUCUGAGGAGAUGAGCAAGGUGGAAAUAUUGCAAGGGGAUGCUAUGGAGCUCAUAAAUGCAAAGAGGGCUGCCCAGAAUUUUGUAGUUGCUUCAGUGGAAGUCCAAAGUAAUGAGCAGCAAUGUGGAGGCUACUGUUGCAUUGAAGCGAGCUGUGGAUCGAGAAGCUGCUGGGAUUGAUGAACUUAAAGCUAAUCGACCAACCAACGCCAAUCUUACUGCAUUGAGUACCAAUCGUGCCUCCACAUUAUCAGUUAAGGAAUUACAAGAAAAUGAUGUUAAGCAACAACAUAUAUUGAAUGUGCAGGCUUAAGGAGAGCAAAUGGCUGCUACUGUCAGUGAAGGUGUUGGUGUUCUUAAGGCUAGUUCAAGCAAGCUUGUGCAGCCUACGGAUGGUGCUUUACAAAUUGGGAAUUCAAUUUCGGAUGAUCCUAAUUAUGGAAGUGCAGCUGGUAUAAAGGUUUCAAAUGAUCGAAAUGCUGCUGGGAUGGCUAAUACUAAUACCGAUCGAGAAACCAAGGCCAAAAAUAAUGCGACAGAUAUAGCAGUAGAAAUGUUGUUGCUGUAUGUUCCAACGUGGAGUCUACUAUUGCAUUGACCACCUCUGGUAAUCAACAUAUGGGUGUGGCUCCUAUAACUACUGAUGCAUUUGUGAAUUUGUUUGAAAACCCAAUUUAUAGGGCUGGCCAACAGGAAAACACUGGAACUGCUCAAAUGCAGGAGGAGGUGUUGAAUCAAGGAAACAUUAGUCAUAACCAUUUAUAGUAGUGCAUUUGUGAAUUUGUUUGAAAACCCAAUUUAUAAGGCUGGCCAACAGGAAAACACUGGAACUACUCAAAUGCAGGAGGAGGUGAUGAAUCAAGGAAUCAUUAGUCAUAACUAUUUAAAAGUAGCACGGACAUGACAUAUUGAUGAAGGUACAAAGCUGGAGAAAACAGGUGUUGAACUUGUUGCUACACUAUUUGAUCCAGUGGAAAAAUCAGCAGGAGCAGCUGGACAAAUUACAAAGGAAGUCGGGAAAAAACAAAACGUGGCUAAAGUUUGGUUAGUUGUAUCACCUAGUAAAAGGGAUGCUAAUGAUUCCAAUAAAUAGGAAUUUACAUCACAUAAUAUUAGGUGCACAAAUGCUUUUGAAGCCUUGACCAUUGAACAUGAAGAUGGAGAGAAUGAUGCUGCUUAAAAAUGCGAACAUGUGUUUGAAGAUUCAGACUCAAAAUCUGGAAAAUACAGCUAUCCAACAAAUGUAAAACAAAAGCAAAGUACUUCAAAAACUACAGCUCUAGUAAAGAAACAUGCUAAUGGCCAACCUCAAGCUUCAGGCAGGCAAUAUUCCAAGAACACAUAUGGUCAACAAAUUGUUUCGAAGGCCAUUAUUCCUAUUGUUUCCCAAACAAAUGAGGCGAUCAGCUCCAAUACACCUAAAAUGUAAAUUUCCAAUCGUCACAUCCAACAAAUCAUCAACAACACACAAAAGGCAAGGAUGAUGAAUUCAUCUAUGGUGAAACAACUCACCUUGAUGACUUCGGUGUUUGAAAUCCCUUCACAAUCAAUUGAAUCCAGUGGCCAGUUUGAAGGUGCAGCUGGGCAUCUUACUCUCUCAACUGGAAACUAUGAUGAACUUAUACAACAAAAGGUGAUCAAAUCAAAAUUUUGGUUACAACGACGUGAAGAGGAUGACGAAGAAGAUAAUGAUAUUAUCAAAGAAAAUGUGAGGGAGCCAGCAAUAAAUUAAAAGAUAUGGGUUCAACAACGUGAAUACGAUGAUGAAGAAGAUUUUGGAAUUAAUUUUGUAGAUGACUCUUCAGACGAUGGUGAGAAAUGUAGUGGCGAUGAAAAGAUAACAUUAGUAGUGUUUCCAAUUCCAAAAGGAGGUAGCUAUGCUAAGAUAGGAUCUGGAAGCAGGCUCAAUUCAACAACUCAGAUUUAUCCGCUAGCUCAAGGCAGCAACAUGGAGAAAUAACCACAAGUAAAACGAGGUUGAUAGGAGAGGCAGUAGCAAUUCUGGGCAACAGCAGCAGUUCACUUCAUCUGUUUCUACUGCUGAACGUGGGCAGCAGCAGGUGAAUGAAAAUAUCACUCACAACGGCUCUAAUAAGUGUACCAACAAUCACUUUAGAUGACAGAAUGUUACUUGAUGCGUUGGUAAAUCCCGCACCUUUCGAAAACUUAAGUGUAACUAAUGUUGCUAGCAAUGGAAGAACAACCAACACCAAUAACAAAAAUCAAAGAAAUGCAGUCUUUGUCACUAAAGAGGAUAACACUUUGGUAUCACAAGAUUUUCCUCAAGAAAUUCCAAAACCUAUAAAUUUAGGCAGAGAUGUUUAUGAAGAAAGUGAGGAACAUAUUACUCUAAAUCAACUCCGGGCAGCGGCAGCGAGGAAAGGCGAUUUGUCGCCAUUUCAUAGCGGAAAAAAUAGGAAAUCUAGAACAAGGGAUAGAAGCUGGGAUGGCAGGCAACAUAGCUACGAUUGAAAAGCAACACAAGAUGUUGCCCUUAAGAAACCACCAAUGAGAAAUGCAAAGCAAAAGGCGAGUGUACCUACCACUUCCGCAAGGUCAAAUAAAUCCAAAAAGAAAUGACAAAGUUUGAAGAUUAUUUGAAAAAAGCGGAAGAAGAAGCAAAAGAGCUACAAAUUGGAGAAUGCACAAGUUUAAACAAAGAAGACACAGACUCAAUUUGUUACAUUGUAUUAUUUUACCAUUUGUUAAGUAUUAUCAUCUAUAAUAUCAUCAGAGAGUAUGCUAUAAACUCUAUGAUAAUCACUGAACAUUUAGUCUUAGCAAUUUCUUUCUUUUUGCAUGAUUGCUAGUGAGGUUAAUUUAUGCCUCGAGAGGAUUAGUACAAUAAGGGUAGCCCGGUUGCGUUAUAUAGGUAACAAUACUGGUGCUUUUGUACCCCUUAUUUGUAUUUUUUCUAUUUGUUGUAUUUUCUUACUGUUUUAUGUUAUUAAUAUAAAAACCAACCGUAGGCACUUUCCUAGUGGAAUAAAAAAAAACAUUUGUACAAAACCAUUUAAAUACCAAUCAAAUAAGACUAUGCAUAACAGAAAAUUGAGCUAACAUUUUAUUUCUGAAAAUUUUAACUAGUGAAACAAAAAUCAACUAACUAAUCAUUCUGCAUUAUAGACAUCAAUUCGAACUUAAAAAGUUCUUAUAAACAAACAUGUGCAAAUCAAUGCAUGCCUUUGCUCUUAAAUCAACCUUGACAAUUUUAGUUUUCUCGUCACAUGAUUUUACAUUAAUUACUUCUCAAGCGGGUUAAGCUCAAUUGAAUUCUUAUUAAUAGUAACAGUAACAAACCUAGGAUAUUAACAUCCAAUUUACUUGAAGUCCAGAAAUCACACUAAAAUUCUUAACAUAGUUCAUGGGCGUUUAACACUAAAUAAGAAUCAGAUGCAAAGUACAGAAUAUUAUUUUUAACCAUAAUACAUGGAUAUAUCUUGUCUCUUCAAAAGAACAACUAUAACACGCACAUACACUCUUAAUCAAGCUGAUCCCAAAUAAGAGUGCCCCAUUUUAUCUUAUGUACAUGUUAAAUGGCUCAUCCACAAGGCUUAUACACACAACUUCUGAGCAUGCUACUCAACAUUUAAACUAAACAUUCACCCUUACUAUCGACCACAGAUUUCAUAAUAUGUAAGUAACAAAAGAGAAAGCCUCGAUAACUUUUAUAAUUCAAAAUCUACUACAGAAUGAUUAAGAAGUAGAAGAAACAGAAGAACUAAGUUCAAAUACAGCGUGUACUCAACCAUUCUUCCACUCCAAAUACAUGCUUACAAUCAACUUUGUUGUCCAUAGUUUGGGAAAUUACUUGGAAAUUGAAAAGGGAACAACAAGGAGUAAGGAGUUAACAAAAAUAGCAGCAGAAUUAGCUUAACCCCAACAAUAGAAUAGUAAUGAAACCAGCUUGCAACCCAAAUUUUAGAGGUCCAAUACUCAAAUUAUUUCGACCCAAAUGAUAGACAUUGUAAUUUUUAAUAGUAUUAACUAAACAACGAGGAUCAUAAACAAAAAACCAAGAAAGAUUUGGGUAGUUUUCAACAAAGAAAUGCAUAAAAUUCGGGGAUAUUUCAGAGUGCCAACCGUUUAUGUUUUUAGGAGUUUUUUUAUCUCUAAAAAUCAGACUUCAACCUAAAGAAAGUAUGCCUUUAUAGGCAAGCUUCUAGGGCUUCAGAAAUGACUAUGUUUUGCACUUUAAACCUUUUUGAGUUUUUAUUUUUAAUCAAAUACCCUUAGUUCAAAAUUUAGUUUUCCAAAAUAACCCCAAUUCCCAGCUUCUUAGAAGUUUCCCAAGUUUGUUAAGAAAGAUCCCCUACCUAUAUUUCAUAAUUUACCCUGUAGGAUCCCUGCUUCCACCUAAAAAAACUAGAUAGAACAUCGUUCAAAUUGACCCGAAACAAUUUGUUAUGGAUCUGUAUAACCCAGGUUGAACCACCUUUUGCACUUUCUGAUUUUUAUUACCCAAGUCAACAUUGAAAGUUCAAAACUCUCAAAUACUCAUUUAAGGAGUGUUAAAGACUCGUGACUUUUGGGCCCAAAUAGGAACAAAAAUUAAAACACCUUCAAACAUAAAACCAGGAAACAAAUACUAACUAAAUAAUCUAAAAUAACAUGCAAACACAAAUGAUUUGAAGAGAUGGAAAAAUGGAGAACAAAAACUCAGAAAAUAAAAGGAAUAAAUAGAAGAAGAUGAGUAGUGAAGUAUAAAAGUAAAAAUUAAAUAACAUAAGAUAAAGAAAUACCUAAGAACUUGUCGUCGAAAGUGAAAAAUCGAAAACAGCUUACAAAUCUUAAAAUUUCUUUUGCAAGUAUGACUUUAAUUGUGUGUUCUUAUCAAGAACAAACGAAGAACAUCAAAGUAAACCUAAUUUCUCACUAAAAUCUUGAUUUUGCGGCUUUUGGGAUUUUACAUUUCAUAAUUUUGAUUCAAGAUUCGAAGAGUUCCGAACUUAUCCGAGGGCAAAGGGUAAUAGAUUUGGUAUGAGGGAGUCAUUGGGGUUGUAUGAUGUUAAUUUGGGCCGGUUUGGGGGUGGCGCCACCAGCUAGAGACUGAGCGAAAUGGGGCCGACACUUUAGGGUUUCUUUUGGUAUCUGAAGAGGGGUGAAGUGAGAGAGUCGAUUAGAGGGGGAUCGGGCAUUUGGACAGUU
rnacentral:lncRNA from 1 species